ACGGAAGGCAGCAGUGGGGAAUAUUGGGCAAUGGGCGAAAGCCUGACCCAGCAACGCCGCGUGAAGGAAGGAGGUCUUCGGAUUGUAAACUUCUUUUAUGAGGGACGAGGGACGUGACGGUACCUCAUGAAUAAGCUACGGCUAACUACGUGCCAGCAGCCGCGGUAAUACGUAGGUAGCGAGCGUUAUCCGGAUUUACUGGGUAUAAAGGGCGCGUAGGCGGGGAAGCAAGUCAGGUGUGAAAUCUAUGGGCUUAACCCAUAAACUGCACUUGAAACUGUUUUUCUUGAGUGCUGGAGAGGUAGACGGAAUUCCUAGUGUAGCGGUGAAAUGCGUAGAUAUUAGGAAGAACACCAGUGGCGAAGGCGGUCUACUGGACAGUAACUGACGCUGGGGCGCGAAAGCGUGGGGAGCAAACAGGAUUAGAUACCCUGGUA
rnacentral:rRNA from 1 species